rnacentral:rRNA from 1 species
CAAUAGCGUAUAUUAAAGUUGUUGCGGUAAAAAAGCUCGUAGUUGGAUUUCUGUUGAGAGCGACCGGUCCAUACCAUGUAUGCGUAUCUGGCUUGCUCUCGGCAUCCUCUCGAUAGACGUUACUGCGCUUGAUUGCGUGGUGCGGAUCUCGGGACUUUUACUUUGAGGAAAUUAGAGUGUUCACGGCAGGCUUUCGCCAGAAUACAUUAGCAUGGAAUAAUACUAUAGGAUCUUGGUUCUAUUUUGUUGGUUUCUAGAAUUGAGAUAACGAUUAAUAGGGACAAUUGGGGGCAUUCGUAUCAACACGUCAGAGGUGGAAUUCUUGGAUUGUGUUGCGACGAACUACUGCGAAAGCAUUUGCCAAGGAUGUUUUCAUUGA